UACCAGACUCCUACGGGAGGCAGCAGUGGGGAAUAUUGCACAAUGGGGGAAACCCUGAUGCAGCAACGCCGCGUGAGUGAUGAAGUAUUUCGGUAUGUAAAGCUCUAUCAGCAGGGAAGAAGAAAGACGGUACCUGACUAAGAAGCCCCGGCUAACUACGUGCCAGCAGCCGCGGUAAUACGUAGGGGGCGAGCGUUAUCCGGAUUCACUGGGUGUAAAGGGAGCGUAGACGGCCAAGCAAGCCAGGGGUGAAAGCCCGGGGCCCAACCCCGGGACUGCCCUUGGAACUGCUUGGCUGGAGUGCGGGAGGGGCAGGCGGAAUUCCUGGUGUAGCGGUGAAAUGCGUAGAUAUCAGGAGGAACACCGGCGGCGAAGGCGGCCUGCUGGACUGCGACUGACGUUGAGGCCCGAAAGCGUGGGGAGCAAACAGGAUUAGAUACCCCCGUAAG
rnacentral:rRNA from 1 species